rnacentral:misc_RNA from 1 species
AUCCCUCAAAUCCCAAUGUUUUGCAAAACUCAUUGCUUGGAUUCGGUUAUGGGCCGUUAUUGCUACUUUACUGUUAGCUGGCCUUAAAGACAUUAGCUUGGACUUUCGAACCUUUUCAGAAGGGUCUCCAUAUGAUGUGAUAAAUUUACGUCGAUGGGCUUAAAGACUUUACUGUUGUUAAUGGUUUUAAAAAUGAAAAAGUCUGCUUUCUAACCCGGCGAAGAGUUCCAUCUCUGACCCACUUUCAUUAA